UGUUGGAGAGUUUGAUCCUGGCUCAGGACGAACGCUGGCGGCGUGCUUAACACAUGCAAGUCGAGCGGAAAGGCCCUUCGGGGUACUCGAGCGGCGAACGGGUGAGUAACACGUGAGCAACCUGCCCUAGGCUUUGGGAUAACCCUCGGAAACGGGGGCUAA
rnacentral:rRNA from 1 species